AUGGGAAAUCCUGCUGAUGCUCCUAAACCCUUCCAGUGGAUUCGGAAAUCCUGUACAGUGCCCAGACAGAAAUUCUUCUUUUGGCUUCUAUUGCAAGAUAGACUGAAUACUAGAGACUUAUUAAACAGGAAGAAUUUUUACAUUGAGACAAGUAAGUGUGAGUUAUGUGAUGAUGAGCCUAAUGAACAUCUAAUGCACCUAUUUUUUAGUUGCGAUUUCAGCCAAAACUUCUGGAUGAACAUUGGUUACCAAUGGGAUACUGAUCAUAAUCUGAUGGAGAUGUUAUUGGAAGGAAGAAAACAAGAUACUUAUGGAUGUUUCAAAGAGUGCUUAAUUGCUGGCUGCUGGAGUUUAUGGAAGCACAGAAAUAGCAUAAUUUUUUAUCACAAAGUUAAGAAUAUGGCUUUCUGUAUAGCCAUGUUUAAGAAUCACUUCAACAUGAUCAUAAAGAAGGCCAAACCUGGUUUGAAGGAGGGCAUGCAAAGUUGGCUUGACACUUUGUAG
rnacentral:rRNA from 1 species